AUGGAAACCAUAGAGUGGUGGAUUUUUUCACAAUUGCCAUGGGCGAUUUGUGAAGGGUUACCCGCCAUAGAUGGUAGACCACAAUGGCUUGCUUAUAAUAGCGGUUUUUUUACCUUCCAUUUUCUGUGUCUGACAAAAGUGGUUACAUUCCCUUCCUCUAGAAAGGGAGUUACCCAUUCUCAUUUUCAAGAUUAA